rnacentral:rRNA from 1 species
UACGGAGGGUGCAAGCGUUAUCCGGAUUUACUGGGUUUAAAGGGUGCGUAGGCGGACUUUUAAGUCAAAUGUGAAAGCUUGCAGCUUAACUGUAAGAUUGCGUUUGAUACUGGAAGUCUUGAAUUUGGUGGAAGUGGGCGGAAUAAAUCAUGUAGCGGUGAAAUGCAUAGAUAUGAUUUAGAACACCGAUUGCGAAGGCAGCUCGCUAUACCAAUAUUGACGCUGAGGCACGAAAGCGUGGGGAUCAAACAGG